rnacentral:lncRNA from 1 species
AUACAUUACCAUAACUAUAGCAAUUGUUAUUAUGCAAAAACUAAUGAAGAAAUCAUGUUAAGAAUGCAAAAGGGCAUAAAUACCUGGAACAGGGGCGGCGAAAAAGCUUGGUGCGAAAUAGGAGAAUGGCAGCGGAGAGCAAUGACAAGCGUUUCAAACGAUUUUGAUCGGCUCAAACUGUUUCUUAUCGUCAAAAAUGUGAAAUGAUCGAUUUUGAGUUUAAACGGUGAAGAAACGAGGGAACUGAGAGGGGUGAUCGCGGCGGGAGAAGAAAGUCGAAGAAGCAGCGUCUGCGCGAAGAAGACGAUACUGUUCCAAAAUUUUANUUUUUAACUGUGAUAGGGGAAUCUACCGCGGUUAAGUACUUAACCGCGGUNUAUUAUGGUUAUAUGNCGCGGUUUCACAGCAAACUGCGGCCUAUAGUCAUUAAAAAAAUAACCUAAAUGGCAUUUUUGAAAAUUAUUUUUGCACUAUAUACCGCGGUUGCCCGCUGAACCGCGGUAUAUUCCUCGAAAUAUUUCAANUUAUUUUUAAAUUUUUUUCAGGUGGGA